UGGGGAAUAUUGCGCAAUGGGGGGAACCCUGACGCAGCCAUGCCGCGUGAAUGAAGAAGGCCUUCGGGUUGUAAAGUUCUUUCGGUAUUGAGGAAGGUUGAUGUGUUAAUAGUACAUCAAAUUGACGUUAAAUACAGAAGAAGCACCGGCUAACUCCGUGCCAGCAGCCGCGGUAAUACGGAGGGUGCGAGCGUUAAUCGGAAUAACUGGGCGUAAAGGGCACGCAGGCGGUUAUUUAAGUGAGGUGUGAAAGCCCCGGGCUUAACCUGGGAAUAGCAUUUCAGACCGGGUAACUAGAGUACUUUAGGGAGGGGUAGAAUUCCACGUGUAGCGGUGAAAUGCGUAGAGAUGUGGAGGAAUACCGAAGGCGAAGGCAGCCCCUUGGGAAUGUACUGACGCUCAUGUGCGAAAGCGUGGGGAGCAAACAGGAUUAGAUACCCUGGUAGUCCACGCUGUAAACGCUGUCGAUUUGGGGGUUGGGGUUUAACUCUGGCGCCCGUAGCUAACGUGAUAAAUCGACCGCCUGGGGAGUACGGCCGCAAGGUUA
rnacentral:rRNA from 1 species